rnacentral:misc_RNA from 1 species
AAGUCGUAACAAGGUUUCCGUAGGUGAACCUGCGGAAGGAUCAUUAACACGUAUCCAACGUUAAACAACCCUGUGAACCUUCAUUCCUGCUCUCCUUGUCCGUUGAGAAAGCAAUCCCUGGUAAAUCACACGAACAGUUUGAUUCAGGGACCUCAGUUUGGCAGUUAGGAUUGAGCGAUCGUUGCAAGUGGCCUGGUUUCCCCAAGCAGUCAGUGUCUGAAAGUGGCAUUGAUUGUGUAAGGAUAACGCUUUUCGAUCACUAGAGGCCGACACCGGCCGGUGACCAGGUCGCCGUGGCUUCGGCCCCCUAUAUUAACCCCACUACCUGAUUCCGCCUCGUAGGAAACUGCUGGGCAACAAAACGAACAACUGUUAACAAUGGAUAUCUUGGUUCUC